rnacentral:rRNA from 1 species
UAAGACGAACCGUGCGAACGUUGUUCGGAAUCACUGGGCUUAAAGGGCGCGUAGGCGGACCGCCAAGUCCGUGGUGAAAUCCUCCAGCUCAACUGGAGAACUGCCGCGGAUACUGGAGGUCUCGAGGGAGGUAGGGGCAAGCGGAACUGUGGGUGGAGCGGUGAAAUGCGUUGAUAUCCACAGGAACUCCGGUGGCGAAGGCGGCUUGCUGGACCUUUUCUGACGCUGAGGCGCGAAAGCCAGGGGAGCAAACGGGAUUAGAUACCCCGGUAGUCCUGGCCCUAAACGAUGGGUACUAGAUAGUAGACUAGACAUGGGUUUACUGUCGAAGCAAAAGUGCUAAGUACCCCGCCUGGGGAGUAUGGUCGCAAGGCUG